UACGGAGGGUGCAAGCGUUAUCCGGAUUUACUGGGUUUAAAGGGUGCGUAGGUGGGUUGGUAAGUCAGUGGUGAAAUACUUUCGCUUAACGAAGGAACUGCCAUUGAUACUACCAGUCUUGAAUACAGUGGAGGUAGGCGGAAUGCGUCAUGUAGCGGUGAAAUGCUUAGAUAUGACAUAGAACACCAAUUGCGAAGGCAGCUGGCUACACAAAUAUUGACACUGAGGCACGAAAGCGUGGGGAUCAAACAGG
rnacentral:rRNA from 1 species